UCCUCUCUCUCCCCCGUGCAGCGAACCCUAGCGCUCCCCGAUCCAGAUCCCUCCCCUCCCCUCCCCUCACCGCCAUCCACCGCUGCUCGCCGCCCUCCACCGCCCCACCACUCCUCUCUCUCCCCGUGCAGCGAACCCUAGCAUUCCCUCUCUCUCUCCCACCGGCGGCGCAGGUUGGUCGGCACUCGGCAGGUAGCGGUCGGCGGCGUCGGAAGCGAGAUGAGAGUCGGCGUCGGCGUCGGCGGGAGCGAGGGCGCGGUGUUCUACACAGACAAGUCCACCCGAUCCAGGCGGGCAACAUCGACGGCACGGACGUCGCCCCCCACGACAACGCCGUCCUCCGCGCCCUCCUUUGCUCCACCUCCGGCCUCUGUGUGUCCUCUCCGGCCCUCUCCCCCUCCUAUCCACUCCUUUCCCCCCGUUCUGCUCUCCACCCGUUCGCGCAUCAACGCUGCGCCUAACUCACUAUGUAUCUGUUUCCCCUUCUUUCUCCAAAUGAUCCCUUCGGGGACCCCAAGGCCGCUGGCGACCCCUACGAGAAAGUGAAGAGCGUGCGGCUGGUGCGGGAUAUUGAUGCUGGCCUUCAUUCUUUAAAAGUCGGGUUUACAGGAGCUCCCCCUCCUCAACCAUGCCAAGAUGGCAGCGGCGCGAUGCCGGUCGAGAACGUUGGCGUGUAGUCGCCUGAGGUGUCGCCGGGGCGCUAUGUGCGGCGGGUCGACAAGGUGCCACCCGAUGAUGACGGUGCGACGACGCCCUUGAGGCCGACGGCCGGGGCACCGGGGACGACGACCCCUUCGACACCCCCGCCAAGCGCAUGCCCGUCGAGAGGCUAUGGCGGUGGAGGGUUGCUAUGACGCGGACAAGCUGCUGCUGCAGGUGGACGACUCCUCAUGGAUGCUCAACCUAUCUCUCCUACCCCCACACAUGGUUUCUCCUGCUGCUGCUGCUGCAUGUCUUCAUCGACUUAGUUCUUCCACAGGAAGAGAUAUAAAUCCUAUACUGUUCACUGUGUAAUCUGCAGAUUACUUCUUCCAUUAAUCAUCUAGUGCUCCUAUUAGUGAGAUUCAUCUAGUAUUUUUUUGCAAAGCAUGCAAUGGUUUGGAGUACUUGAUCAUGACCUCAUGAAACCUACAUGUCGUUAGCAUGUAUAUAUAUUAAAUGCAUUAAAUCUGGUUAAAUGCAUUCUACUACAACAACCAGAAGCAAUCCAUUUUAUUAAAUGCAUUCUGGUUAGGAUUUGGUCAUAGCAUCACCUUGCUGUUCUGUUUUAAAUCUGGUUGCAAGUUAUUAUUUUUCCAGAACCAACAUCUUACAUUUCGGGCAUUGGAAUUUAGGAUUUUUUGUAUAAUUUUAGUUCUGGAUGUGUCCAAUGCAAACAUUACUGUGAGCUGACAAAUUGAUUCUAAAAUGUCAUAUUAACUUUAUUUCAGAUGGUGAUUUCUAGAUUUAGUACCAAUUUAUUGUUGCUCUGGCCUAUGCAUUGUACCUUGCUCUGUACCAACUUAUUGCAUUAUUUGUUAUUUACUGUUAAAUAUGCUGUUAGAUUAUUUUUAUUUUGUUGCUAACCAUUUUGUUGUAUAACAAUGAGAUGCUAGCCUUUCAUGUUUCUUCACAAGCAUCAGGACAAAGAAGAAGAAGUAUAGUUCAAUGGAUCUAGUUCUCGGAGUAAUGAAGCCCAUGUGAUGCUUAAUUACUAUACACUUGUAGAGCUUUUUAUCUGAUUGUAAACUUAAUGCCGAUCACAUUUAUAUGUGUUAUAUUAUGUAAAAGAUUGCUUUUGCUGUUAUUUGAAGUAUUAUGUCUAUU